rnacentral:misc_RNA from 1 species
AGCAGCCGCGGUAAUUCCAGCUCCAAUAGCGUAUAUUAAAGUUGUUGCAGUUAAAAAGCUCGUAGUUGAAUUUCGGGAUCAAUACGUCGGUCGUGCUUAGGUACGUACUGGCGUAAUUGAUUUCUCCCUUCUGACGAACCAUGAUGUCAUUAACUUGGUGUCAUGGGAAAUCAGGACUGUUGCUUUGAAAAAAUUAGAGUGUUUAAAGCAGGCUCACGCUUGAAUACAUUAGCAUGGAAUAAUGAAAUAGGACGUUCGAUCCUAUUUUGUUGGUUUUUAGGAUCAACGUAAUGAUUAAUAGGGAUAGUUGGGGGCAUUAGUAUUCAAUUGUCAGAGGUGAAAUUCUUGGAUUUAUUGAAGACUAACUACUGCGAAAGCAUUUGCCAAGGAUGUUUUCAUUAAUCAAGAACGAAAGUUAGGGGAUCGAAGACGAUCAGAUACCGUCGUAGUCUUAACCAUAAACUAUGCCGACUAG